GACGAACGCUGGCGGCGUGCCUAAUACAUGCAAGUCGAACGCAGUGGGGACGGGUGAGUAACACGUGGGUAACCUCCCAUCAGAGGGGAUAACACUUGGAAACAGGUGCUAAACCGAUACUGAUGGAUGGACACGCGGUGCAUUAGCUAGUUGGUGGGGUAAAGGCCUCCCAAGGCGACGAUCCGUAACUGGGCUGAGAGGAUGAUCAGUCACACUGGAACUGAGACACGGCCCCGACUCCUACGGGAGGCAGCAGUAGGGAAUCUUCGGCAAGGGACGAAAGUCUGACCGAGCAACGCCGCGUGAGUGAAGAAGGUUUUCGGAUCGUAAAACUCUGUUGUUAGAGAAGCGGUAUCUAAAGAGAAAGCCACGGCUAACUACGUGCCAGCAGCCGCGGUAAUUG
rnacentral:rRNA from 1 species